GGGCCUAUAGCUCAGUUGGUUAGAGCGCUACACUGAUAAUGUAGAGGUCGAUGGUUCGAGUCCAUCUAGGCCCA
rnacentral:tRNA from 2 species